rnacentral:lncRNA from 1 species
AACUCUGAGUAGUCAACUGUCUGUGUAAGAACUACUUUAUACGGAAUAUAAAGUGAUUUGAAAUCUCUCAAAAUAAUAAAGGGUCUUAACCUUCUGUAAUCAGUAGUGCUGGAUAUGGUACUGCUGGGACUGGCAGUGUUAAAUACACCAUUCUCUCACACAAGAUCAACAUCAUUUUGAUAUUUUUUUUUGUACUCCAGUUCUUGUGGGUUGGUUGAUUUAAAGAUUCAAAUAAUUGAAAAUGCCAGAAGAUCCUUAUGUGUUAUUUAGUGUAUGUGGAAUAACAGCUACAGAUUGCAGAUUUGCCCUGUUCUGUUUGAGAACGUAGGCAAGGUUCUAGGGAAAAAUCCACGUGUGUCUAUUAUCUCCGGUGUAGCGGCUAGGAAGAAGCUGAAAAAAGUUCAUUUUGUAGUAAAUCCAGUUCAACAGCGUUAUAUUUAUGCUAGUUUAAACAUUUUAUUGUUAUUCAAAUGAUACCUGUUGCAUUUGGUUUGUGAAGUAUGACUAUAAAAGUGAAGUGUGCUCAAGCUCUGUCCUCUGCUUCUUUCUUUCUGUAGCAGCAUCCCUGCUGAAACAAACACCUCACGACACAGCAUGCGAAGGGUGGUGCAAAAAUAGUUUAUUACGAUAUCGUUUAUGUAAAGUUAGGUAGUUAUAUUUACAAAAUUAAAAUGAUCAGCUACAUCCAUGGGAACCUAGCACGACACACGAGAUUUUGUAAGGAAUAAAUACAGUGACAAAAAAAAGUGACGUUUCUAUUACAGUGAAGUUACCAGGAGCAGUGGCUCUUAAAAAAAGCAAUGGAAUAAACUGGGGUGGAAGAGAGGAGAGAAGCAGAGGGGAAUUAAUCGCGUGCGACGUCUCGUUUCCUGGAUGGAUCUCAUGCAAGAAACGCCCCUGGAGAGAGGCCCUUCGGACCUGCAGACGGACGGGGCUUCAGCACAGCCGUGCUUCCCUGCCUCCUGCUGUGACCAUUGCUGGCCUUGAGCCGUGGGGUUUUCCAGCAGCGCCGUGGCUGCAGCAUCCCCAACUGCACGGGGGCUUCUUGCAAGCGCCAGGGUCGCUGCUGCUCAGCCAAACACAGGUUGGAGGCGGCGAGCUGGCUGCUGCGCCUGGAAAAUGUACUGUGUGCUCAGCUCCUGCUUUUGGGGCCACGAGCCCUUUUUGUCAUUUCCAGGAGGAGGGCAGAGGACCCCGAGUGCAGGCGGUGGAGCGUGGUGUGUGCGUCCCCUCAGGCUGCUUUUUGGGGGCUGAAGGUGUGCUGGAGCACAGCUGAGGGCAGCCUUCACUUCUGAUCAGGUCAGUGGAAGGACCGACCGCUAGUACUGACCGUGAACGGCCACUGCCACUUCUGUUACCACCCAAAGACUUGCAGCGUCCCCUUCUCUCUCCCUAAAAACUUUAUCCCUCCGAAUAAACGAUCCCUUAAAAUCUGGAGCCA